GACGAACGCUGGCGGCGUGCCUAAUACAUGCAAGUUGAGCGCUCAAGGUUGGUGCUUGUACCAACUGGAUUAGCAGCGGACGGGUGAGUAACGCGUGGGUAAUCUGCCUUUGAGCGGGGGACAACAUUUGGAAACGAAUGCUAAUACCGCAUAAAAACUUUAAACACAAGUUUUAAGUUUGAAAGAUGCAAUUGCAUCACUCAAAGAUGAUCCCGCGUUAUAUUAGCUAGUUGGUUAGGUAAAGGCUCACCAAGGCGACGAUACAUAGCCCCACUGAGAGGGUGAUAGCCGACACGGGAACUGAGACACGGUCCAGACGACUACGGGAGGCAGAAGUAGGGAAUCGUCAGCAAUGGGCGAAAGCCUGAAGGAGCAACGCCGCGUGAGAGAUGAAGGUCUGAGGAUCGUAAAACUCUGUUAUUAGGGAAGAACAUACGUGUAAGUAACUGUGCACGUCGUGACGGUACCUAAUCAGAAAGCCACGGCUAACUACGUG
rnacentral:rRNA from 1 species